GACGAACGCUGGCGGCGUGCUUAACACAUGCGAGUCGAACGGAAAGGCCUCUUUCGGGUGGUACUCGAGUGGCGAACGGGUGAGUAACUCGUGAGUAACCUGUCCUUGAUUUUGGGAUAACUUCAGGAAACUGGGGCUAAUACCGGAUACAUGCUCACGCUGCACGGUGGGGGUUGGAUUGAUUCGGCUGUUGGGGUUGGACACGCGGGUUAUCACCUUGUUGGUGGAGUUGUGUCUGACCAAGGCUUUGACGGGUAGUCGACCUGAGGGGGGGACCGGCCACAAUGGGACUGAGAGACGGCCCAGACUCCUACGGGAGGCAGCAGUGGAGAAUAUUGCACAAUGGGUGGGAGCCUGAUGCGGCAACGCCGUGAGCGGGAUGACGGCCUGCGGGUUGUAAACCGCUUUCGCUCAUGACGAAGCAUUGUGUGACGGUAGUGGGUAAAGAAGCACCGGCUAACUACGUG
rnacentral:rRNA from 1 species